rnacentral:rRNA from 1 species
AGUGAACGCUGGCGGCGUGCCUAAUACAUGCAAGUCGAACGGAGUGGCGCACGGGGGUGUAAUGUAUAGCUAAUCCGCCCCAAACUAGAGGACAACCGUCGGGAACGACUGCUAAUACCCUCUAGUGUAGGAUGAGGCACUAUUGUAUCAUCUAGUUGGUGAGGUAAUGGCUCACCAAGGCUAUGACGCAUAACACGUCUGUGAGGAUGUGCAGUGACCCCGGAAGGGAGACACGAUCCAGGAAUCUACGAGAAGCAGCAGUAGGGAAAAUUGCUCAAUGGGGGAAACCCUAGAGCGGCGACGGCGCGUGGAGGAUGACACUUUUCGGAGCGGAAGCUGAUGUUGUUAGGAAAGCGUUACCUAACGAAUAAGCACCGGCUAACUCCGUGCCAGCAGCCGCGGUAAUUC